rnacentral:rRNA from 1 species
GCAAACUAGCACCGUAAGUUCGCGAUAAGGUGUGCCGCAGCAAUGCGGUCUCAGCAAAGAGUCCCUCCCGACUGUUUACCAAAAACACAGCACUUUGCCAACUCGUAAGAGGAAGUAUAAGGUGUGACGCCUGCCCGGUGCCCGAAGGUUAAGAGGAUGCGUCAGUCGCAAGAUGAAGCGUUGAAUUGAAGCCCGAGUAAACGGCGGCCGUAACUAUAACGGUCCUAAGGUAGCGAAAUUCCUUGUCGGUUAAAUACCGACCUGCAUGAAUGGCGUAACGAGAUGGGAGCUGUCUCAACCAGAGAUUCAGUGAAAUUGUAGUGGAGGUGAAAAUUCCUCCUACCCGCGGCAAGACGGAGAGACCCCGUGGACCUUUACUACAACUUAGCACUGCUAAUGGGAAUAUCAUGCGCAGGAUAGGUGGGAGGCUUUGAAGUAAGGGCUUUGGCUCUUAUGGAGCCAUCCUUGAGAUACCACCCUUGAUGUUUCUGUUAGCUAACUGGCCUGUGUUAUCCACAGGCAGGACAAUGCUUGGUGGGUAGUUUGACUGGGGCGGUCGCCUCCUAAAAAGUAACGGAGGCUUGCAAAGGUUGGCUCAUUGCGGUUGGAAAUCGCAAGUUGAGUGUAAUGGCACAAGCCAGCCUG